CAAUCACUAGUGUCUCGCGGCUCUCGCCCCACCCCAGCCACCAAACGAGGAACCCUAGCCUCCUUUCUCCUUCCCCUCGCCCCCCACGAGCCGCUGCACCCCUCCCUCUCCCUUCCGUGCGUGCGCUCGGCCAAGGACGCCGCCGUCGCCCUCGGCUCCUCCUCCCCCACCUCGCCUUUUUCUCCUCCUUGCCUUCCCAUCGCUCGCGCGCAUGUCGCCGCUGUCGAAGAACAGGACAGUGCGGGUCGCUUCCUCCUUUUCCUCCCACCGGAUCUAAGGCAUGCGGCCGUGGAGGCGAGCCUCUCCGGUGGCGGCGGCAAAGGGUGACCACAUGGAUCGGUCCCUGCAGGAUAGAGAAGAUGGGAGAGAGGGAGAGAAGGAAGGAGAGGAGGGAGGCCCGAUGGCGGACGGGAGAGGGUCACCGACCGGCGCCGGCGAGGUCAGGUUCGACCUGGUGGUUGGUGGCGGCUCGAUCCACUCCUGGAUCCUUCUUCUUCCACUUCCCCACUGCCUAACACCAAGGAAGAGGGCUGGCCGAGGAAGAGGGCGAGGACGCGGGGAUUGAAGAGGGUGUUCAUGCAUUCAUCGCCUGGCCAAGGACGAGGAUGACGACGUGGGGUGGAGCAUGUCAUCCCUCUGGUUAUCACAUUCCUUUCUGCUACUGGGCUGAGAUGAGGGUUUUCUCCACCGAUUGUGGUGGCCUGAGUCAGAUAUCGACAACCAGAUGCUUGUGGCUACCACACAAAACGUGCUCUCUUGCUGACCUCGAGGUCCAGACGCAAUGGAUUGUCUCCAAGGUGUUUCUCCGACCAGCAACAACAAAACUCCACACUUUCUCAAUUGCGCUGUGAUUGGUUCAUGUCCACCAAGGUCGUUGCGUUGGUCGCGGUACUCGGCUUCCUUUGGGUUUGCUUGCUGUCGAGGAAGAAGAAAGGUGUGAACUAUGUGAAAAUGGACAAACCCACUGUCCCAGAUGGUAAUGAAAAAACUGACACCAACUAGCUCACUCUAUAGAUUUUGUCUAGGCUCAAGCUAACUACGUAUCUGCACCACGAUUGCUCGCUGGGGAUAUAGAUGUAUGCCUAACAUCAGGUUAUUACCACACCAUAGUAGCUGCUCGUUGGGAAUAUAGAUAUAUAUUUCAUUUUGCAGGUUUGAAACAAGCUGGUUCCUUUAUAUGAAAUUGUUUAUUCAUGAUUUGUUAAUGUAGAAAUCAUUUCAUUAAUUAGUUUCGUAUGGUCCGUGUGAUUCAUGCUGCAAUGCUUUUCUUCAGUCGGUUAAUCGUGUAGUAAUUAGACGGUGUAGUACUAUGGCGGUGGUAUACUGAUAUCGUGUAGUAAUUGAUGCUCUGUUCAUGGCUUUUUUCUUAUUUUAUCCUUCUUUGCUUUUUUCCUUUCCUGCAAGAAGAUGUCGAGUCAUGUAAUAUGUUCAAAGAAGAGAGAAUCUGCAUUUUAUGAAUCCUUUCUUCUUUCUUCAUUGUUACUUCAAGUUAGUGAAUUCAUUUAAGUUGUAUUGAGCAGCUUCAUGUGCAUGGUUUCUUCAUCUACACAUCUUAUUCAGUCACGAGGCCUCUAAGAUCUUUUGCCUUUUAGAAAAAGGGAGAUGCCAUUUAGACCUUACUCUUCCAACUUGAUCUUUAACUUGCUAGCAUUUUCCCAAGCAUUUUUUAUUUGCUUCAGAGAAUGAACUCACCUUAUUCAGUGGAUGUGCCAAGUAAAAAAAUUAGAAACUGAACAAUUAGUUCCACUCUUAAAUUUUGUACAACGGUCCAAAUUAUCCAAUAAAUCAGUUGUUAGCAGGGUCUAAUUAUAGAAGUUGAAUCAGUUGUUCCCUCCUCUUCUCUUCGAACCCAGCCCUCUCUUGAGUGUGUCGUGCCCUCUACUACGGUAAAGCACCAGGUCCACGUGAGCUCCUCCUUCAACCCGCGUAUGUAAUUUCUUCCUUUUCCAUGAAUGCACACAUCUAAAGCAUUUUUUUGGGUUCCCUCAUCUAAAUUUCUUCUGAAGUGUGCAGAUUGUUAUUCAUUAUCAGGGAGGACAAUAUUCUUUUCAAGGACUCAUUAGUCCCAGAAUAUUUAGCUGGCAAGAUACAUAUUUUAUGAUUCAUCCAUCUCUCCAAUUCUGACCUUACAUAUCAACCUGUCUUCAUGUACCCUUCUAUAUAUGGUGCUGCUACUUUUUUUUCCUUACAUGGAUAUAUGUAUGAGAUUUCUUUGUUUAGGUAUAUUUGUGCCUGAAAGAAGUUUACAUCUAUUUUCUUGUUAGAUGAGCCUGAAUGAGAAUACUUAUGAGAUCGCAUGAAUGAGAUGUUGACGCCCUGUAUGCUCCAUGUAUCAUUCUUCCCACAUAAUGGUUAGAAUCCCAGUUGUUGAAUCACAAUAGACAAUACCAUAUUUCACAUUUUGUAUAGUCCAACCAAUAAUACAUAUGGAGCCUGGUGAUGGUUAUUGAUAUAUAGUGAUAGUAGUUUCCUGCAUUAAUUAGUUAAUGAGCCACCCUUUCGUUUUCAACUCAAAGUGUUGCAACAGUUAAAUAGAUGUGUUCGUGCCAUUUAGCCCCAAAAUUCAGUUCAGUUUGGCUGUACAUCUAUUGCCGACCCCUUUUCUUAGUACUGAUUGACCUUUAUGUGUUAAUAUUUUAUUGACUUCAUUUUUUCCUUUAGUCCUUCCUCUUGGUGUAUAAUCCUGAUUGUGUGAGUUCCUUUCCUGGUAGGGUAUUUAUGAUUCGGACCAUUCCAUAACAAAAUGCAUAUAUGGCCUCAUGCAUGUUUAUUGCUUGCCUGUGUAUCGUUGUGUUCUUAUCGGUUGUUUUCUGUGCGUUUCGUAGGAUGCGAUCUCUUCUGCCGCUACGUCUCCGUUCGACUCGCCAAGGUUUGUUGUUCUCCUUUUUACAUGUGUGUGUGCUUUACUUUCACUAUCUGCUAUAUCAUGCUAUAUGCCUUCAUGAUCGUUUAAAUAUUAUUAUGGUGUCUGCCAUGCUGAUCGUUUAAAUAUUUCGGAUACGGCAGGGCAUUGUGUGUUGUUCGUUCUCUUGCUACUUACAGUUCGUGUAUGCGUGUGAGCAGGAUCUAUGCACUUGUUUCCGUUGUUAUACUUGUUUUGGAGACUGAGGUAGCUCGGUGUGCUUUGCCAUCGCUUUCGUGUCUGUGUGAGGUUGUAGACGUCUGUGUGAGGUUGUAGACGACGGUUCUGUUCUUGCUGGUGUAGAACUCGAGCUCCCAGGGGACGGUUCUGCUCCAGUGCCACAAAGAGAUUUUUUCCGAGCUCGGCUGGGUGUGGUUUUAUGAAUGGCUAUGAGUAGGCUGCUCUACAGGUCUUGUGUAUUUUGCAAGGUUUAUAUGGACUUUUCGUUCAUGACAAUAACUAUGAAUGUAUGAUGGCCUAUAGGAGAUCUUUCUGUUCAAGAACAUUGUGGUUUCUUUGAUUCCUACUAUGCUAUUUACUCAGUCUGCAGGCCAGCAUAUUAUUUAGAUUCUUUCUAACUACCUUACUUCGAAGCUCGGUACUGGUCUCCUUCAAGCUACAACCCCAAGGCGAGCUCUGGUGGUCAAGCUGAUGCUUCUUUGCCUCAUGUUGAAGAAAAGGAUGAUAAGGAUGUCCAUGCUCGAGUGACCAGGAACAAUUGGGGAUCCCCAGAUAACUUCCGAAGCGAGGAGUUAAUUUUCGACAUAGUCCCGUUUCACAAUGGCUAUCACGCACUGCUUGGACGAACUGCAUUUGCAA